UGAGGUUUUAUGAUUGAUUUAUAUUUCUAAUUAGAUGCUACUUUUGUUUUUAAUGUUUUAGCUUUCAUUGGGUCUUGGUAGUGAUUGAGCCAAGGAAAAUGAUAGUUCACUAUCUUGACCCUAUGCAUCACAAACCAUGUGAGGACUUAAAGGAUAUCGUAAACAUGGCUCUUCGAAUAUCUGCAAAGAAAACAUCUAAGAGGGAGCCAUCUUGGCAACUAGUGCAGGUGACAUCCAAAAAAUUUUCUUUACACAUUAGCUUAUGCAUUUGCACCAUUUAUAUAUAUGAGUACUAAUGUUAUUUUAUAAUUGAUCGAUUAGUGUCCAAGACAAGAAGGAGGGUUCGAAUGUGGCUACUUUGUUAUGAGAUUCAUAAAAGAGAUAAUUUUUGAUCCUACAAUUAUUGCUUCAAAGUUUGGUGAUAAAAAAACAUAUUCUCAAGUAGAAUUCGAUGAAAUUAGAGGAGAAUGGGCUACUUUUGUGCUACAACUAAUCAUGAAUCAUGUUGAUGCAUCAUGAUCACCAUGCAUGGUAUACACUUUUGGGAUGGUGGAAUGGAGAAAAAAAAGAAAGAAGAAGGCAACAAGAUUUUGGGUUUUUAAAUGCAACUCUUAUGUCAUACGUUAUAAGACAUAAAUGUUACUUUAAUUGGUAAUGAGAAAUUUAGAUUUUUA